rnacentral:rRNA from 1 species
GACAAGCGGAGGAGCAUGUGGUUUAAUUCGAUGAUACGCGAGGAACCUUACCUGGGCUCGAACGUAAGAUGACUGUAGGUGAAAGCUUACAUCUCUUCGGAGCAUUUUACGAGGUGCUGCAUGGUUGUCGUCAGCUCGUGCCGUGAGGUGUCGGGUUAAGUCCCAUAACGAGCGCAACCCCUACCUUUAGUUGCCAUCAGGUUAAGCUGGGGACUCUAAAGGAACUGCCUACGCAAGUAGUGAGGAAGGCGGGGAUGACGUCAAAUCAGCACGGCCCUUACGUCCAGGGCUACACACGUGCUACAAUGGCCGAUACAGAGGGCAGCUACCUGGUGACAGGAUGCAAAUCUCCAAAGUCGGUCUCAGUUCGGAUCGGAGUCUGCAACCCGACUCCGUGAAGUUGGAUUCGCUAGUAAUCGCGCAUCAGCCAUGGCGCGGUGAAUACGUUCCCGGGCCUU